rnacentral:SRP_RNA from 1 species
GCGGCACCGAGGAACGGCAGAUACUUGCCGAACCCCGCCAGGACCGAAAGGUAGCAACGGUAGGUGGGUUCCUCUGGGUGUUCUAAGGUGCCAACCA